rnacentral:rRNA from 1 species
UGGCGGCGUGCUUACACAUGCAAGUCGAACGGUAACAGAAAGAGCUUGCUCUUUGCUGACGAGUGGCGCACGGGUGAGUAAUAUAUAGUUAAUGUGCCCCAAAGACUAGGAUAGCCACUGGAAACGGUGAUUAAUACUGGAUAAGCCUCUAUCACAUAAGUGAGCGAGGAAAACGUUUUUUCGCUUUGGGAUCAGACUAUAUCCUAUCAGGUAGUUGGUGAGGUAAGAGCUCACCAAGCCAAUGACGGGUAGCGGGUUUGAGAGGAUGAUCCGCCACACUGGUACUGAGACACGGACCAGACUCCUACGGGAGGCAGCAGUGAGGAAUAUUGCACAAUGGGGGAAACCCUGAUGCAGCAACGCCGCGUGGAGGAUGACGCAUUUCGGUGUGUAAACUCCUUUUAUAUGUCAAGAAAAUGACGGUAGCAUAUGAAUAAGCACCGGCUAACUCCGUGCCAGCAGCCGCGGUAAUACGGAGGGUGCAAGCGUUACUCGGAAUCACUGGGCGUAAAGGACGCGUAGGCGGGUUGUCAAGUCUGGUGUGAAAUCCUACAGCUUAACUGUAGAACUGCAUUGGAAACUGGCAACCUAGAGUAUGGGAGGGGAAGAUGGAAUUAGUGGUGUAGGGGUAAAAUCCGUAGAUAUCACUAGGAAUACCUAAAGCGAAGGCGAUCUUCUGGAACAUUACUGACGCUAAGGCGUGAAAGCGUGGGGAGCAAACGGGAUUAGAUACCCCGGUAGUCCACGCCCUAAACGAUGAACACUAGUCGUCGGGAAGCUUGUCUUCUCGGUGAUGCACUUAACAGAUUAAGUGUUCCGCCUGGGGAGUACGGUCGCAAGAUUAAAACUCAAAGGAAUAGACGGGGACCCGCACAAGUGGUGGAGCAUGUGGUUUAAUUCGACGAUACCGAAAAACCUUACUGGCCUUGACAUUGAAAAAUACUCAAAAACAGUUAGUGCCCUUCGGGGACCUGAAAAAGGUGCUGCACGCUGUCGUCACUCGUGUCGUGAAAUGUGGGUUAAGUCCGCACGA